rnacentral:rRNA from 1 species
CUAAAAACGACAGUCUCAGUUCGGAUCGCAGGCUGCAACUCGCCUGCGUGAAGUUGGAAUUGCUAGUAAUCGCGGAUCAGCAUGCCGCGGUGAAUACGUUCCCGGGCCUUGUACACACCCGCCCGUCACACCAUGGGAGUUUGUAACACCCGAAGUCAGUAUCCUAACCGCAAGGGGGGAGCUGCCGAAGGUGGGAUAAGCGACUGGGGUGAAGUCGUAACAAGGUAGC